GCCGAGAUAGCUCAGCUGAGAGAGCGAUAGACUGAGGUUCUACAGGUCUGGUGUUCAAGCCACCCUCUUGGCA